UUAAAAAUAAGCUAAUUUUAAGCUUUUGGGCUCAUACCUCAAAUAUAAAGGAUCUCCUUUUUUUUAAA
rnacentral:tRNA from 2 species